GUGAGCCGUGUGCGGGAGAACCGCACGCACGGUUCGAUGCGGCGGGGGCUGGAAACGGAGCGGACGCACU
rnacentral:ncRNA from 1 species